CAAAAGAUCCCUCGAGAUUCCCAGGAGCUUGACGGACGUUGGGUGUGGCCCCGAUCACUGGGGCCCUCCCAAAAGCCAGUGGCGGCGGUGGCCCGGCCCCGAGCGCAGUAGACUUCUCUCGCCCGGGGGCCUGGGCGGCGUGCCGGCCAGCAAGACUUUAGCCACACCAAA
rnacentral:misc_RNA from 1 species